rnacentral:misc_RNA from 1 species
UCAGCUCAAUGCCGACCUCCGCA